GAUGAACGCUGGCGGCGUGCCUAAUACAUGCAAGUCGAGCGAACAGACGAGGAGCUUGCUCCUCUGACGUUAGCGGCGGACGGGUGAGUAACACGUGGAUAACCUACCUAUAAGACUGGGAUAACUUCGGGAAACCGGAGCUAAUACCGGAUAAUAUAUUGAACCGCAUGGUUCAAUAGUGAAAGACGGUUUUGCUGUCAGUUAUAGAUGGAUCCGCGCCGCAUUAGCUAGUUGGUAAGGUAACGGCUUACCAAGGCAACGACGCGUAGCCGGCCUGAGAGGGUGAACGGCCACAUGGGGACUGAGAGACGGCCCAGACGCCUACGGGAGGCAGCAGUGGGGAAUAUUGCACAAUGGGCGGAAGCCUGAUGCAACAACGCCUCGAGCGAGAUGACGGCCUUCGGGUUGUAAACAGCUUUCGCCUGUGACGAAGCGUGAGUGACGGUAAUGGGUAAAGAAGCACCGGCUAACUACGUG
rnacentral:rRNA from 1 species